rnacentral:rRNA from 1 species
AUUGAACGCUGGCGGCAGGCCUAACACAUGCAAGUCGAGCGGAUGAAGGGAGCUUGCUCCUGGAUUCAGCGGCGGACGGGUGAGUAAUGCCUAGGAAUCUGCCUGGGAGUGGGGGAUAACGUCCGGAAACGGGCGCUAAUACCGCAUACGUCCUGAGGGAGAAAGUGGGGGAUCUUCGGACCCCACGCUAUCAGAUGAGCCUAGGUCGGAUUAGCUAGUUGGUGGGGUAAAGGCCUACCAAGGCGACGAUCCGUAACUGGUCUGAGAGGAUGAUCAGUCACACUGGAACUGAGACACGGUCCACACUCCUACGGGAGGCCGCAGUGGGGAAUAUUAGACAAUGGGCGAAAGCCUGAUCCAGCCAUGCCGCGUGUGUGAAGAAGGUCUUCGGAUUGUAAAGCACUUUAAGUUGGGAGGAAGGGCAGUAAGUUAAUACCUUGCUGUUUUGACGUUACCAACAGAAUAAGCACCGGCUAACUUCGUG